rnacentral:rRNA from 1 species
GAUGAACGCUGGCGGCGUGCUUAACACAUGCAAGUCGAACGGAAAGGCCCAAGCUUGCUUGGGUACUCGAGUGGCGAACGGGUGAGUAACACGUGGGUGAUCUGCCCUGCACUUCGGGAUAAGCCUGGGAAACUGGGUCUAAUACCGGAUAGGACCACAUUUUGGAUGGUGUGGUGGAAAGUUUUUCGGUGUGGGAUGAGCUCGCGGCCUAUCAGCUUGUUGGUGGGGUAAUGGCCUACCAAGGCGUCGACGGGUAGCCGGCCUGAGAGGGUGUACGGCCACAUUGGGACUGAGAUACGGCCCAGACUCCGACGGGGGGCAGCAGUGGGGAAUAUUGCACAAUGGGCGCAAGCCUGAUGCAGCGACGCCGCGUGGGGGAUGACGGCCUUCGGGUUGUAAACUCCUUUCGCUAGGGACGAAGCGUUAUGUGACGGUACCUGGAGAAGAAGCACCGGCUAACUACGUG